GACGAACGCUGGCGGCGUGCUUAACACAUGCAAGUCGAACGGAAAGGCCCUGCUCUUGUGGGGUGCUCGAGUGGCGAACGGGUGAGUAACACGCGAGUAACCUGCCCUUGACUUAGGGAUAACUUCAGGAAACUGGGGCUAAUACCGGAUAGGAGCUCCUGCUGCAUGGUGGGGGAUGGAAAGUUUCGGCGGUUGGGGAUGGACUCGCGGCUUAUCAGCUUGUUGGUGGGGUAGUGGCUUACCAAGGCUUUGACGGGUAGCCGGCCUGGGAGGGUGACCGGCCACAUUGGGCCUGAGAUACGGCCCAGACUCCUACGGGAGGCAGCAGUGGGGAAUAUUACACAAUGGGCGGAAGCCUGAUACAGCAGCGCCGCGUGCGGGAUAACGGCCUUCGGGGUGUAAACCGCUUUCGACUGUGACGAAGCGUGAGUGACGGUAAUGAGUAAAAAAGCACCGGCUAACUACGUG
rnacentral:rRNA from 1 species